AUGCUUACUGCUGCGAAGGAGGCCCACUCUCCACAAAGAGAUCCGAGGAGACAGGCCCAGGUCAGGCCUCAAUUGCUGCUACAUCGGGGGAGUCUGCGCCCAGAGAAAGCUCGGAGCAGGCUCCACGGCGGCCGGGUCAGCCCUCUGGGAGGGACCUUGGGGAGACUUCAGCGCUGGCCGGCAGGUGGGGGCAGGGCGUGGGCGCGGACACACCCCCCGCAGUGCCCCCGGCGCCCGGCAGGGGGCGCCGCUCCUCCGGCCCACGCCCCGCCGCGCGCCGGGCAGGCCCCCUCGCGCAGGCGCGCUGCCGCGGGCGGAGGAUCCGGGCCGCGCUUCCUCUCGCCAGGCCUGCGAGCUUCCUCCCAGCGGAGCCCCGGGCAAACGGAGCUUGGCCGCCGCCGCAGACACCGCCGCCGUCCUCCCGCUCCCGCCCCACCCCGCACCCUGCCCGGGGGGCCUGCCGGGGUGGGGUCCGAGCGGGGCGACCGCCCGGCCGCGCCGCCGUCGGGGCCGUCCCCCGGCCAGCCGUCCCUCCCGCCCCAGCCAGCCUGUGGCCGCCAGAGCCUCCGGGGCGUGGAGCUCGGGGAGCCCCCGCGGCCCCCGAUCCAGCGUCCGGGGCAGCCCCCCGGCAGCCGGCGCGACGUUCCAAACUCGAACCUCGGUGGCGGCGUUCGGAAGCGGAACUCUGCCGGGGCCGCGCCGGCUACAUUGUUUCCUCCCCCCGACUCCCUCCCGCCCCCCUUCCCCCGCCUUUCUUCCCUCCCCGACCCGGGCCGCGCGGCCAUCCCCCUGCCUCUGUCUGGCCGUCCCUCCUCCCCCUCUUUUCGCACCAAUACCUCUUUGUACCGCACCCCCCGGGGACCCCUGCGCCCCUCCCCUCCCCCCUGGCCGCAUGGACCGUCCCGCAGGCCGCUGAUGCUGCCCGCAGCGAGGUGGCCCGGACCGCAGUGCCCCGAGAGAGGUGAGUGCCUGGAGGGCCUGGAGGAGGUGGGCGUCCAAGUGCUUCUCGAGGGGAUGAGGGUGGAGGUCGCGCGUCCCGCUUCUGUUGCUUCCGUUGCAGCUGCGGUCACGUCCACUCCCAUCCCCCACCUCCCUUACCCCCUCCUUCCCGGGUUCGAAUUCUCCCGGGAGUCGAUGUCAGCCCGACUGGGAGGGGAGCUCACCAGGGAGGUACUGCCCUGUGAGCCCCACAGACUUGUCUCAGGCCACUCCGAGUCUGUCCCCUCCUUUCCCCGCCGUGUUGGGGCUGGCUGGAGCCUGGAAGGAGGGGCAGCAUGGGCCAGGGCCCUGGAGAGUGGGCACUUUGCCAUUCCCUGCCGGGGCCCUCCCUGCAGGUUCCCUGGCCUGCCUUAUCCUGCACCUUCCCUCAUCCCCCCACUGAGAGGAGCCGGCUGGCUCUACGAAGUCCAGGGCCCAGCCACCUCCCUGGAGCCUGCCAGAGGUUGA
rnacentral:lncRNA from 1 species